rnacentral:rRNA from 1 species
GACGAACGCUGGCGGCGUGCUUAACACAUGCAAGUCGAACGGAAAGGCCCUGCUUGCCGGGUGCUCGAGUGGCGAACGGGUGAGUAACACGUGGGUGAUCUGCCCCUUACUUUGGGAUAAGCCUGGGAAACUGGGUCUAAUACUGGAUAGGACCAUGCUGUAGGUGGUGUGGUGGAAAGAUUAGUUUCGGUAAGGGAUGAGCUCGCGGCCUAUCAGCUUGUUGGUGGGGUAAUGGCCUACCAAGGCGUCGACGGGUAGCCGGCCUGAGAGGGUGGACGGCCACAUUGGGACUGAGAUACGGCCCAGACUCCUACGGGAGGCAGCAGUGGGGAAUAUUGCACAAUGGGCGCAGGCCUGAUGCAGCGACGCCGCGUGGGGGAUGACGGCCUUCGGGUUGUAAACUCCUUUCAGCCAUGACGAAGCCCUUGUGGUGACGGUAGUGGUAGAAGAAGCACCGGCUAACUACGUG